rnacentral:rRNA from 2 species
CGGUCCGGCCGGGAACUCAAAGGAGACUGCCAGUGAUAAACUGGAGGAAGGUGGGGAUGACGUCAAGUCAUCAUGGCCCUUACGACCAGGGCUACACACGUGCUACAAUGGCAUAUACAAAGAGAAGCGACCUCGCGAGAGCAAGCGGACCUCAUAAAGUAUGUCGUAGUCCGGAUUGGAGUCUGCAACUCGACUCCAUGAAGUCGGAAUCGCUAGUAAUCGUAGAUCAGAAUGCUACGGUGAAUACGUUCCCGGGCCUUGUACACACCGCCCGUCACACCAUGGGAGUGGGUUGCAAAAGAAGUAGGUAGCUUAACCUUCGGGAGGGCGCUUACCACUUUGUGAUUCAUGACUGGGGUGAAGUCGUAACAAGGUAACCGUAGGGGAACCUGCGGUUGGAUCACCUCCUUACCUUAAAGAA